AUGUGCCUAGAAAGGCCACCCGUUCUUCCUCGGGUCUCUGGAAGACAGGGCUGCAGGCCAGCUGUGCAAAAGAAGGCACUUGGGCUGGAUCAUCCCGCGGCAGGGGAGGUGGAUGGGAACACAAGAUGCCAAGAGCUUGCCUCUGGCUGCCGAGACAGAGCUGUGACCGGCCCACUCGUUGAACACACGGCCUUCCUCUUCUCAGCCCAGGACGAGGGAAGGCCGGUCCUGUCUGGACGCAAGGGGUCGGGCACCACCUCGUCUUCAGACCCUCGUAGGACAAGACGUCUACAGACACUGGCCCAUGAACGGUCUGUGAUUCCUACUCGAGAGCCUGGAUCUCACUGCACCUGCCUUCCCCCUCCCCAAUCAACCCAGACAGAGGCUGCACAUCCAGUCGUCCUACUUCCUGUUCCCAUGACCUCAUUGUGAGAAGACCCCACCCAGCCCCUCUGGCUACAGCGCUGGCCCCAGACCCCAGAUGGUGACCCCGCCCUACUUUCCACCACAACCUGGGGCAGCCAGAACCCCUCUCCCCAUUCUCUGCCUCUUUCCUGGGUGGGGUGGGGUGUGGUCUCGGAUCCCCCUAUCCCUCCCUACCCAUCCCUCCUUCCACACCUACUAAGGCAGGGCCUGGGCUCCAAUGCCAGGGCGCUAAGCCCAGCCGUGUGUGCAGUGGCAGGGGGGACCCCAAGCCUGCCGCCCCGCCCCAGCCCCCAGCUUCUCCCCACUCACCGCCCCACCCCGAUUACCAGGGGAUCCUGGGCUCUGCCGAUUCCAAGCCUGCUUCUCCCAAACCCGUUCCCAGCUGUCAUGUCUGUAAUUACCAGCCUCGCCAGGGGCAUCAGACCAGCACAGCAACACCUCAUUUCCAAAGGGCCCCACCAGACGAGGCCUCUGCCUCCUACUCUGUACCAAGCAGUGUGGAGGCAGGGAUGGAAAGAUUUUCCCUGACCCACCUCGUUUCUCUCCAGAUCACAAGAGGGCUGCCCGGGGAGAUCGCCAGGAGGCAGAAUAAAGAAUGGAAGGCUGCUGCUGGGGGUGGGGUC
rnacentral:lncRNA from 1 species